CCUGCCGGGCCGGACAACAGACCGUUAGCCACCGCACUGACAUCCCGUAACCACUCCACACACACCCUGCAGUAGCAGCUCUGCGCUGUGUCGACGAGGUACCGGGUCUGCUGGCAGAGGGCGAACCCCCCCCCCCCCCCCGCGAAACAGUCGGGUUGUGAGAAGCAGUCUUUACCGCGGGACCCCUGCUCUUAUAGAACACUGAGCACCAUCUGGACCGCGUGCUGGGGGAGCAGGUGGUGCCAGAGAAACCCAAUUGUUGGGAUAACCAAUGACCUGCAGGCCUCCCAACCACAACAGAGGAGGGCCGGGGAGCCGGUGAGCACACACUGUGGGCCCCGUCGUCGAAGGCAAACACUCGGGACGCCCCUCCACACACACACGACGACAGCAAUCCUCUGGGGUUGCCCCUGGUAACACGCUCCACAACACAACCUCAAGAAUUCUGCUGCGCUACCUGGGUGAGGAACGCCGGACCGUCCUAACGUGUCGUCUGCAGGCGAAAAUGCUACGGCGGUGAGGGGAAAGGGGCGUGUUUAGGUCUGCCUGCCAUUCAGAACGGAAUGGACCGUCCGACAUUACGGCGUGCGCGUGUGCGUGUGCUGGGUCGGCUGCCUCCUUGUCCCGCCUCGUUUUAAAUAUGCCAGGGAGUCGUACCGUCAUCUCCACUGACCUGUCGCCGCAUGCUAAGGACAACGAUCCAAGGAAUCAUUCAGAGGAUUUUUUUUUCCUACAGUGGAUCCCAUGAAUUGUUCUAAAAUUAAAUUAAGAUAAUGAUUAAUCAUUGGCUCCAGAUUGAAUAGCUCUUGAUUAUGAAAUCACACAUUCGGUUAAGAAAUUAUUAGUAGCCCUACCCAUUUCUUGGGUACACGUGUUUGCAGUGCAAAGAAGGAGUCUGUUUAUAGUAGUAAUAGAAGACGAUGGAACCACGCGCUGUUCUUUGUCUACGAAAUGCCGGCGUGGCUUAACAUCACACAGGGAAGGGCAUUGGAUCGCAGGUUUUGACCUUAAAACAACAACAUUACACAUGGCCUGGUGUGUGUCCCUGUUGUGUUUGUGGAUUAUAACAGAGACAUGCAUUUAAUAGGCUAUUGAAGGGGUUUUAACUUAGCCUUCCAAAGGGCAGCCCCCGGCGCUGGUGGGAUGCCUCCACACAUCCGCGGGGCAGAGUCAUGUGACCAGUACAUUAGCUGGCUUAUGUAAGCGCUCCGGCGGCAGGCUUCAGGCGCAGAGUGGAAGGGCUGCGUGGUGCACCGGAUCAGGAGCCCAGCAGCACCAGCAGGGCCUCCACACCGGACCUCUGGAUCGGUCCUCUGCUGGAAGGAGACCUUCACUGAGUUGGACACUUUUUGGACGUCACCAGGGAACGUUGGAACAGAGCGAACAAAACUGGAUCAGAAUAUCCACGCCCGGAACAAGAAUAAAUCAUGUAACUCACAAACAGACAAAUUAACUAAAUAAAUAGAUCAAAGAAAUAAAUGAAUUCAUGAAUACAUCCAUAUAUUUGUUCUUCAGAGACGGGAUCCUUUUUUGAUGUAUUCCGUUUGCAACACAUUCAUUAAGAUAGUCACUCCCCUCUGGGUAUCACAAACUGGCCUGUGGGACUGUACCCAGUCCCUUACCAACUUCAUUUCGAAUAAAUCAAAUUGAAUAAAAAACCAAGUUGUCAACAAGCCAUCCGCCAAAUCAAUGUCCAACAGGGUCCGCGCCGCCCACGCUCCCUCUGCCACUGCUGUUAUGGAAGGACCAUGUGGGAGUUUUCAGAGGCAGCUCCUCUGUGGAAGUGAUGUAACACGGCCAGAUCACUCUCUCUCCGUCGGGUCGGAGCAACACUUGGCGACUCGCGGCCGGCUGGAAUGUCGCAAGAAUGCAUUCCGAUGUCACCCGGUGAUUUAUAACACUAAUCAAGACCGGGCGCAGCAAAGUUUUCCUCGUGUUUAUGUUUUGUAAUGAAGCAUACUGCAAAUCAGUACUGUUGCAUCGAAUAUAUGAGUUUAUUCACUCUUAUUGCUCGUUGUCUCAUCAUCCGCAAUAUAUAGGCCUAUGUAGGGCCUAGAAGAUAUACUGGGCUGAGAAGAAAUACAAGCAGCAUGACCUGAUUAAGUCAUGCUAAUUAUUAUACAUUACGCAAUAUGCUGUAGUAGGCUACCAAGAGAACCAAGAGAUCAUUGUGAUGGCUAUACUUCCACGUGUGUGUGUGUGUGUGUGUGUGUGUGUGUGUGUGUGUGUGUGUGUGUGUGUGUGUGUGUGUGUGUGUGUGUGUGUGUGUGUGUGUGUGUGUGAAUGUGUGUGUGUG